GGUGAGAUGGCCGAGUGGUUAUGGCGCUGCGUUCAGGAGAAACCCUGGAUUUCAACAUGAUGUGAAAACAUCGUGAACAAAAUUUCGCAGUGGAGCAAUCCGCGUGGGUUCGAGUCCCACUCUCAUCA
rfam:Fungal sp. No.14919 DNA, contig: Contig0002.